UUUUUUUUUCCUCCUUUAUAUAAAUCUUCUUUUUAU
rnacentral:sRNA from 1 species